GAUGAACGCUGGCGGCGUGCCUAAUACAUGCAAGUCGAGCGAACGGACGAGAAGCUUGCUUCUCUGAUGUUAGUGGCGGACGGGUGAGUAACACGUGGAUAACCUACCUAUAAGACUGGGAUAACUUCGGGAAACCGUAGCUAAUACCGGAUAAUAUUUUGAACCGCAUGGUUCAAAAGUGAAAGACGGUCCUGCUGUCACUUAUAGAUGGAUCCGCGCUGCAUUAGCUAGUUGGUAAGGUAACGGCUUACCAAGGCAACGAUGCAUAGCCGACCUGAGAGGGUGAUCGGCCACACUGGAACUGAGACACGGUCCAGACUCCUACGGGAGGCAGCAGUAGGGAAUCUUCCGCAAUGGGCGAAAGCCUGACGGAGCAACGACGCGUGAGUGAUGAAGGUCUUCGGAUCGUAAAACUCUGUUAUUAGGGAAGAACAUAUGUGUAAGUAACUGUGCACAUCUUGACGGUACCUAAUCAGAAAGCCACGGCUAACUACGUG
rnacentral:rRNA from 1 species